GACGAACGCUGGCGGCGUGCUUAAUACAUGCAAGUCGAACGGACAGGCCCUGCUCUUGUGGGGUGCUCGAGUGGCGCACGGGUGAGUAUCACGUGUGUAACCCCCCCCUGUCUUUGUGAUAACUCUAGGAAACUGGGGCUAUUAUCGGAUAGGAUCUUUUGAUCCACGGUGGGGGUAGGUAAGUUUCGGUGGUUGGGGCACGACUAGCGGGUUAUCCGCUUGAUGGUGGGGUAGUAGAUUACCAAGCCUUUGACGGCUAGGCGACCUGGGAGGGUGGCCAGCCACAAUGGGACUGAGGUACGGCGCAGACGCCUACGUUACGCAGCAGUGGAGAAUAUGGCGCAAUGGGCGGAAGCGUGAUACGGCGGCGCCGCGUGCGGGAUGACGGCCUUCGGGUUGUAAACCGCUUUCGCCUGUGACGAAGCGAGAGUGACGGUAAUGAGUAAGGAAGCACCGGCUAACUACGUG
rnacentral:rRNA from 1 species